rnacentral:rRNA from 1 species
GACGAACGCUGGCGGCGUGCUUAACACAUGCAAGUCGAACGGAAAGGCCCUGCUUUUGUGGGGUGCUCGAGUGGCGAACGGGUGAGUAACACGUGAGUAACCUGCCCUUGACUUUGGGAUAACUUCAGGAAACUGGGGCUAAUACCGGAUAGGAGCUCCUGCUGCAUGGUGGGGGUUGGAAAGUUUCGGCGGUUGGGGAGGGACUUGCGGCUUAUCAGCUUGUUGGUGGGGUAGUGGCUUACCAAGGCUUUGACGGGUAGCCGGCCUGAGAGGGUGACCGGCCACAUUGGGACUGCGAUACGACCCAGACUCCUACGGGAGGCAGCAGUGGGGAAUAUUGCGAUAUGGGCGGAAGCCUGAUGCAGCAACGCCGCGUGCGGGAUGACGGCCUUCGGGUUGUAAACCGCUUUCGCCUGUGACGAAGCGUGAGUGACGGUAAUGGGUAAAGAAGCACCGGCUAACUACGUG